rnacentral:rRNA from 1 species
AUAUCAAUAAGCGGAGGAAAAGAAACCAACAGGGAUUGCCUUAGUAACGGCGAGUGAAGUGGCAAAAGCUCAAAUUUGAAAUCUGGCGCCUUUGGUGUCCGAGUUGUAAUUUGAAGAAGGUAACUUUGAGAUUGGCCCUUGCAUAAGUUCCUUGGAACAGGACGUCAUAGAGGGUGAGAAUCCCGUUUAUGGUGAGGUGCCCAAUUUCUUGUAAAGUGCUUUCGAAGAGUCGAGUUGUUUGGGAAUGCAGCUCUAAGUGGGUGGUAAAUUCCAUCUAAGGCUAAAUAUUGGCGAGAGACCGAUAGCGAACAAGUACAGUGAUGGAAAGAUGAAAAGAACUUUGAAAAGAGAGUGAAAAAGUACGUGAAAUUGUUGAAAGGGAAGGGCAUAAGAUCAGACUUGGUAUUCAGUGAUCAACUUUCUUUCGGGAUUGUGCACUCGCUGUUUACUGGGCCAAUAUCAGUUUUGGUGGUAGGAUAAUGAUUUAGGAAUGUGGCUCCUCGGAGUGUUAUAGCCUAGGUUGAUACUACCUACCGGGACUGAGGACAGCGC